UAAGUCAUACUGAUACUAUGCACUAUUUCAAAGUCAUAUAAUUAACAAUCAGAAUACCCAUCUGAUACUUAAUCAGAAUGGAAAUGUAUUUUCCUGGUAAAGAAAAAGUAACUCACCUCGAAGAUUACUUUUCCUAUGUAUUCAUUGUCGGCAGCAAUGUCAAAGUAGACGACUGGGUUAACAACCGUACUGCCAGUUGAACACCUUCGGGCAGCGACAAACGCAAACGAACAUCGUGAAAUUAGCUUGACCCUACUCGACCAAGCGCUGCCACUUUUGUGUGAUGAAACCGUCGGCAGACUACUCAAUUAUACAGAAUCUCAAUACAACUGUGUUGAAACAAAGGUUCCAUCCAACAGUAGUCCCCAGGCAACAACCUGUUCAUCACCUCUGACCCUGUGACCUCACUA